rnacentral:rRNA from 1 species
AUGAGGAAGAGCACGUACGGAGCUCUAUUCUUCCUUGGUGGCAGCCUGAUAAGCUGGCAAUCAGCCAAGCAGCAAGUUGUGGCUGUAUCUUCCUGUGAAGCAGAGUAUGUCGCUGCAGCAACAUCGGCAACCCAAGCCAUUUGGCUAGCACGGUUGCUCGGCGAUCUGAAGGGUCAGGAAGCUGACACUGAGCAUGUCCGCACUGGCAUUCAGCAUGAACCCCGUUUUUCACGAGCAGAGCAAGCAUAUGGAUGUCCAGUAUCAUUUUUUCCACGAAUGCGUGGAGAUUGGGAGCAUCUCUACUGA